UGAGGGGCUAUUUUAAAUCUUAGAGCAG
rnacentral:piRNA from 1 species